CAAACUUUCUUCUUCUUCUUCAACAAUCGAGCUCUGCUUCUGGCUUUUCUCCUAGUCCAAUUCCCAUUUAAUCUUCAUCAUCUCCACCACAGCCCUCGCCGACUCCAUCACCACAACCCGUCGCCGAUUCACCUUCACCCAAAACUCUAUCUCUGAUUUCCCUUCCUCCAUCUCUGUCGGACGCUCCAAUGAACGCACCAUCCUUCUUCAUCUUCGACACUACCGCAAUCAUCUCCGUCGGCCAACGACACACCUCCAAUUCCUUCUCUAGCCUCGUCGAAUCCGAGCGAUGUCAACCACAGCAACCUCAAUGCAGACGGAGACGGAACGAAGAAUUCCUCUGGAGGAAUGAGUCUGGCAAAGAAGGCAGGGAUCGUACUUGGAUUGAUCGUUGGAUAAAAUUCAUAGAUCUCAGUAUGGAUACGCCGCCAAGAGAGAGAUUCUGAAGAACUACUCAGGCUCUCAUACACAAAAGCUCUUAAAGGGAAAGUCCAUCAGAAUGAUGGGAGUGUCUGAACAUGAGGUUGAUGAAGUUUUACAACAUGCAAAGUCAAACUUAAGGAUAGCUGGAUUUGAUGAAGAGGAAAUGAGAUUGAGGCAGCGAAUGUCAUACAGGCCUCAUACUCUGAAACUUCCCAAGGACCUUAUAUAUUUUGUGAUUUCCGAACAUUUCAACUUCCAGGAAUUGAGUUGAACCCUCCGGUGUCAGAGGCAUUGAAAAGAAUGCACAUGCUUGCUGCAGAUCCUGGAAUUAUUUCUGUCAUGAACAAGCAUAGUUGGCGUGUGGGAAUCAUGACUGAGAUGGCCCCUGUUGGUUAUGUUGGCAUAAGUCCCAAAUGCAUCCUCAGCUUUAAUAAGAACCACGAGGAGGAGAUAUCUCUGCGCCUUCGAACUAAUGACCUUAAGGGUUUCAGGAAAUAUGAAAGUAUCAUGCCCGUGUAGUUUUUUAA